UCUGCCGCCCCCGCCUUGCUGCUAGAGGGUCCUGUAAUGACAGUGGGCCCGCCCGAUAGCUGAGGACGGUCUUCCUGUCUCAAGGUCCUUAGUUUAAUAAAUUCUGGAACAUGAGAACUCAAAGACAUCCUAAAAUCUAUUCUCUUCAGGUGUCUUGAACCCUGGCUUCCAAUGAGAUACGGUGGUUCAGAUGAAACCUGAGCACCACAACAUCUGCAGAGCAGGCGAGCACAAAGACCCCAAGCGAGGCGCUGUCAUAUUGCUGGCUGUGGCAUAGAGCUGCCUCAGCCCCGUGCUACAGCAGGCCCUGUUUCCCAUGCUAAAGACUGGAGAGGGCUAAGGUUAGUGAGACAGUGUAACUCACCAAGGUUGCUGUCCAGUUAAUGGUGCACAGUCAACCACUCUAGAGCUUAUUGGUAUACAACUACCAUUUUACUAAUCAUGAAGACUCUGUGGGCCAGGAAUUUUGGAUGGGCACAGUAGGGACAUGGUGUCUAGGGCUGAGGGGGGCUGUUGUCUGAGCUGUACUCUUUUGGAGAUGUCUUCACUUACACAUCUGGUAGCUGACGUAGCUGUUGGCUGGGCUCUUAGCUCAUCUCUUGGCAGGAACAGCCACACGUGGCUUGGCCCUGUGUUCUCUUUACAUGCGCUAGUCUGGGCUUUCUCACAGAGUGGUAGUGGGUGCCAAGAGUAAGCUCUCCAACCAAGCAAGGUGGAAGCGCAGGCCACUUUUGUGAUCAAGCCAUGGAAGUUAUAGGCGUCACUUUUGUCAUGCUCUGUUGUCUGAGCAAUCAUAAAGCUCUAUCAGGUUCAAGGGAGAAGACAUCUCACCAUUAAAGGAUGAACAUGAAGAUGCGGUGUGUUAAGAGCAUGGGGGAUGGGAGAUGUCACUGCAGCCAGCCCUGGAAAAUACAAUCUUCCAUAAUCACAGAAAUAGUAAGUAGCAGAAUAAGAAUUUUUUAAAAACCACUUUAUUGAAGUAUGAUUGGCAUACA